CAGCAUCGCCGUUUUGGCUAUCGUUGCCCAUCGAAAACACGUAUCGUUCGGUGCGGACUCCUAAUUUGACGCUUGGACUUCGUUGAGGAUAAGCGGCAGGACGAAAGGGUUUCAUGAUGGGACCAGAAUUGCUGAUGAGGUUCUCUGAAAUCGGAAAUGAGAGUCGCUUUUUUGCAGAGCCCCACGAUCCAUCUUUCUCCAGGGUCCCAGGCCGCUGCUUAGGUUGACUAUGCGAGCGCACUUUGGCUCUUGCUGAUUGUGUGGCUUGCAUAUAGUUUGGAACAGAGGGACAGCUUGCUAAGCUCUCAUCAUCGCGUAUGGAUCCUGCAUGGCUGUAGCAAGUGCCAAAGCGAAAGGCAGAAGGAGAAGACCUUGCUGUGGUUGAAACAGCGCUUCCCCCUUCUUCCAACUCUUCCCUCCUGAUAAGGUUGCGAGGACUGGCAGAUCGGAUUAGGGAAGGUGUUGCCUUGUGGCCUGAGGGUGGAGUUGCUGGGGGUUGCAGCGCACCCUGGCUUGUUGUUCUUUGCAUGGUACUCGGGCUAAAAUGGUUGUGGCCGUUAGAGUUUUGACAGGGUGGCCCUCAAAAACAUCCUUUGGAGCAGAGAUGUCGAAUGUGCGAUUUCGCCAUGGUCGCGCUGCCAUCCAUCUUUCCAACCAGCACCAACCCCAGUGGAGCUUGUCGGGCUCGCAAUCUAUGUGGAGCUGUGAUGUUUGAUUGGGGGCCGACUUCCACAACUGUCAGUUAUAAAUCGGUAAGAAAUGAAUCCUCCAGCUUAAAAAGCCCGAAGAGCAUGCCUGAUUCUGCCAGCUAAGAAGUGAACUGUUCAAGGUUGACUGAACAAUAUCAACGAGCAGAGAUAAUUUAUAGUAACAUACACAAAUACAAUCGUAACUGAGCGAAUGAAUCUAACACAAACCUGAUGGGAGAAAGCAUAAGCCAAAGCUCUUUCUCUCUUCAUGGCGGCCUCCUGCUUGUUCAGGAUUUUCACUUUUUCUGCAUGUAUUGUUUGAGUGCUAUCAUUCCAACCUCCGUCCUGCCAUUACGUCCUCAAGUGCUUAUCAAAUCUAUCUCAGUUUAUCCAAUGUAAAUUUGCAAUAUUAGUAAAAACAAGUUUAUUAGUUGAUGGUUCUA